UCUCAGAUAGCUUAAUUGGUAGAGCGUUGGGCGCGCAACUAAACAAUCCGGGUUCGAGUCCCGGUCUGAAUUGUCAGAA
rnacentral:tRNA from 1 species